AGAGUUUGAUCCUGGCUCAGGAUGAACGCUAGCGGCAGGCCUAAUACAUGCAAGUCGAGGGGCAGCACAGGUAGCAAUACUGGGUGGCGACCGGCAAACGGGUGCGGAACACGUACGCAACCUUCCUUUGAGCGGGGAAUAGCCCAUAGAAAUGUGGAUUAAUACCCCGUAAUAUCGUUGUCAGGCAUCUGAUGGCGAUUAAAGCUCCGGCACUCGAAGAUGGGCGUGCGUCUGAUUAGGUAGUUGGUGAGGUAACGGCUCACCAAGCCGACGAUCAGUAACUGGCGUGAGAGCGCGACCAGUCACACGGGCACUGAGACACGGGCCCGACUCCUACGGGAGGCAGCAGUAAGGAAUAUUGGUCAAUGGACGCAAGUCUGAACCAGCCAUGCCGCGUGGAGGAUGAAGGUCCUCUGGAUUGUAAACUUCUUUUAUCUGGGAAGAAAUGUCGGUUUUCUAACUGGCUUGACGGUACCAGAUGAAUAAGCACCGGCUAACUCCGUGCCAGCAGCCGCGGUAAUACGGAGGGUGCGAGCGUUAUCCGGAUUCACUGGGUUUAAAGGGUGCGUAGGCGGAUUUGUAAGUCCGUGGUGAAAUCUCCGAGCUUAACUCGGAAACUGCCAUGGAUACUAUAAGUCUUGAAUGUCGUGGAGGUUUGCGGAAUAUGUCAUGUAGCGGUGAAAUGCUUAGAUAUGACAUAGAACACCGAUUGCGAAGGCAGCAGGCUACACAAAUAUUGACGCUGAGGCACGAAAGCGUGGGGAUCAAACAGGAUUAGACACCCUGGUAGUCCACGCCGCAAACGAUGAAUGCUAGCCGUUGGCGAGCUUGCUCGUCAGUGGCGCAGCUAACGCUUUAAGCAUUCCGCCUGGGGAGUACGGUCGCAAGAUUAAAACUCAAAGGAAUUGACGGGGGCCCGCACAAGCGGUGGAGCAUGUGGUUCAAUUCGAAGCAACGCGCAGAACCUUACCAGCUCUUGACAUGUCCCGUAUGGGUUUCAGAGAUGAGACCCUUCAGUUCGGCUGGCGGGAACACAGGUGCUGCAUGGCUGUCGUCAGCUCGUGUCGUGAGAUGUUGGGUUAAGUCCCGCAACGAGCGCAACCCUCGCCCUUAGUUGCCAUCAUUUAGUUGGGCACUCUAAGGGGACUGCCGGUGAUAAGCCGGAGGAAGGUGGGGAUGACGUCAAGUCCUCAUGGCCCUUACGGGCUGGGCUACACACGUGCUACAAUGGCGGUGACAGAGGGAUGCGAAAGAGCGAUCUUUGGCAAAUCUCAAAAAACCGUCUCAGUUCGGAUUGGGGUCUGCAACUCGACCCCAUGAAGUUGGAAUCGCUAGUAAUCGCGGAUCAGCACGCCGCGGUGAAUACGUUCCCGGGCCUUGUACACACCGCCCGUCACACCAUGGGAGUUGGCUUUACCUGAAGGCGGUGCGCUAACCCGCAAGGGAUGCAGCCGACCACGGUAGGGUCAGCGACUGGGGUGAAGUCGUAACAAGGUA
rnacentral:rRNA from 1 species